GCUGGGCAUGGUGGUGUGUGCCUGUAAUCCUAGCUACUCAGGAGGCUGAGGCAGGAGAAUUGCUUGAACCCGGGAGGCCGAGGUUGCAGUGAGCUGAGGUCACGCCACUGCACUCCAGCCUGGGAGACAGAGCAAGACUCUGUCUCAG
ensembl:misc_RNA Metazoa_SRP Metazoan signal recognition particle RNA